ensembl:snRNA U5 U5 spliceosomal RNA
CACUAUUGUUUCUCUUCAGAUCAUAUAAAUCUUUCGCCUUUUACUAAAGAUUUCCAUGGAAAGGAUCUAGAGUAUCAACAAAUUUUUUGAUGCCCUGCAUUUAGUAGGGCU